rfam:Triticum aestivum genome assembly, contig: Triticum_aestivum_CS42_TGACv1_scaffold_642163_T_4AL-0.226673_7BS-0.191292
CAAGUACUCCCUCCGUCCGAAAAUACUUGUCCUAGAAAUAGUUGUAUUUAGACUUGUUUUAGUUAUAGAUACAUUCAUUUCAUUCAUUUCUAGGACAAGUAUUUCCGGACAGAGGGAGUAUAGU